rnacentral:rRNA from 1 species
UCGGGAUAAGCCUUGGAAACGGGGUCUAAUACCGGAUAUGAACGCUUGCCGCAUGGUGGGUGUUGGAAAGUUUUUCGGUGGGGGAUGGGCUCGCGGCCUAUCAGCUUGUUGGUGGGGUAAUGGCCUACCAAGGCGUCGACGGGUAGCCGGCCUGAGAGGGCGACCGGCCACACUGGGACUGAGACACGGCCCAGACUCCUACGGGAGGCAGCAGUGGGGAAUAUUGCACAAUGGGCGAAAGCCUGAUGCAGCGACGCCACGUGAGGGAUGACGGCCUUCGGGUUGUAAACCUCUUUCAGCAGGGAAGAAGCGCAAGUGACGGUACCUGCAGAAGAAGCGCCGGCUAACUACGUGCCAGCAGCCGCGGUAAUACGUAGGGCGCAAGCGUUGUCCGGAAUUAUUGGGCGUAAAGAGCUCGUAGGCGGUCUGUCGCGUCUGGUGUGAAAUCCCAUGGCUCAACUGUGGGCUUGCAUCGGGUACGGGCAGACUAGAGUGCUGUAGGGGAGACUGGAAUUCCUGGUGUAGCGGUGGAAUGCGCAGAUAUCAGGAGGAACACCGAUGGCGAAGGCAGGUCUCUGGGCAGUUACUGACGCUGAGGAGCGAAAGCAUGGGGAGCGAACAGGAUUAGAUACCCUGGUAGUCCAUGCCGUAAACGUUGGGCACUAGGUGUGGGGCCAGUUCCACUGGUUCUGUGCCGCAGCUAACGCAUUAAGUGCCCCGCCUGGGGAGUACGGCCGCAAGGCUAAAACUCAAAGGAAUUGACGGGGGCCCGCACAAGCGGCGGAGCAUGCGGAUUAAUUCGAUGCAACGCGAAGAACCUUACCAAGGCUUGACAUGUACGAGAAAGCCCCAGAGAUGGGGUUCUCUUUGGACACUCGUACACAGGUGGUGCAUGGUUGUCGUCAGCUCGUGUCGUGAGAUGUUGGGUUAAGUCCCGCAACGAGCGCAACCCUUAUCCUAUGUUGCCAGCGGGUUAUGCCGGGGACUCAUGGGAGACUGCCGGGGUCAACUCGGAGGAAGGUGGGGAUGACGUCAAAUCAUCAUGCCCCUUAUGUCUUGGGCUUCACGCAUGCUACAAUGGCCGGUACAGAGGGCUGCGAUACCKGAGKGGA